CGCAUGGUGGUUUAGUGGUAAGUACGUACGCCUCACACCUCCAGGGUCGGGGGUUCGAUUCCCACCGAGGCCA